AGCUUUGCGCAGUGGCAGUAUCAUAGCCAAUGAAGUUUAUCCGAGGCGCGAUUAUUGCUAAUUGAACAAAUUUGUAAUGACAUAUAUCCAUCAUUAUAAUACCAUAACAGAGUAUUUUCACU
rnacentral:snRNA from 1 species